CCUACGGGGCGCAGCAGUGGGGGAUAUUGCACAAUGGGGGGAACCCUGAUGCAGCGACGCCGCGUGGGUGAAGGAGCGUUUCGGCGCGUAAAGCCCUAUCGGCAGGGAAGAAGAUGACGGUACCUGACCAAGAAGCCCCGGCUAACUACGUGCCAGAAGCCGCGGGAAUACGUAGGGGGCAAGCGUUAUCCGGAUUUACUGGGGGUAAAGGGGGCGCAGACGGCAAUGCAAACCAGGAGUGAAAGCCCGGGGCCCAACCCCGGGACUGAUCUUGGAACUGCAUGGCUGGAGUAUCGGGGGGGUAGGCGGAAUUCCUAGUGUAGCGGUGAAAUGCGUAGAUAUUAGGAGGAACACCAGUGGCGAAGGCGGCCUGCUGGACUGUGACUGACGUUGAGGCCCGAAGGCGUGGGGAGCAAACAGGAUUAGAUACCCUUGUAGUC
rnacentral:rRNA from 1 species